rnacentral:rRNA from 1 species
CCUACGGGUGGCAGCAGUGAGGAAUAUUGGGCAAUGGACGAGAGUCGGAACCAGCCAAGUAGCGUGAAGGAAGAAGGCCCGAGGGGUGGUAAACUGCUGUUAUAGGGGAAUAAAAUGUGACACGUGUGGGAUUUUGUAUGUACCAUAUGAAUAAGGAUCGGCUAACUCCGUGCCAGCAGCCGCGGUAAUACGGAGGAUCCGAGCGUUAUCCGGAUUUAUUGGGUUUAAAGGGAGCGUAGGUGGGUUGUUAAGUCAGUUGUGAAAGUUUGCGGCUCAACCGUAAAAUUGCAGUUGAAACUGGCAGUCUUGAGUACAGUAGAGGUGGGCGGAAUUCGUGGUGUAGCGGU